GUUGUUAGUGUUUUAGAGCACAUGGUGGAUGCCUUGGCAUCAGGAGCCGAUGAAGGACGUGGUAGCCUGCGUUAAGCCUCGGGGAGUUGGCAAACAAGCUGUGAUCCGAGGGUGUCCGAAUGGGGAAACCUACCUGGAGUUAUGUUCAGGUGCCGUCGUUUGAAUGUAUAGGACGAUGGGUGGGAACGUCGGGAAGUGAAACAUCUUAGUACCGACAGGAAGAGAUAUUCCGUGAGUAUUGGCGAGAGAAAGCGGAUGAGGCUAAACCGUGCGUGUGUGAUACCCGGCAGGGGUUGCGCGUAUCGGGGUUGUGGGACCUUUCGUUUCUAGUCUGCCGGCUAGUUGCAAAGUGAGAAAGUCAUUGUGUAGGUGAAGCUGGUGGGAAACAGCGGCGUAGAGGGUGAGACCCCCGUAACUGAAACAUGGUGGCCUUUGUGUGGAGUGUUCCCAAGUAGCACGGGGCUCGAGGAAUCUCGUGUGAAUCUGGCAAGACCACUUGCUAAGCCUAAAUACUCCCUGAUGACCGAUAGCGGAUAGUACCGUGAGGGAAUGGUGAAAAGUAGCCCGGGAGGGCAGUGAAAUAGUACCUGAAACCAUGUGCUUACAAUCCGUCGGAGCCUCCUUGGUUGGGGUGACGGCGUGCCUUUUGAAGAAUGAGCCUGCGAGUUAGUGCUCAGUGGCGAGGUUAACCUGUUGGAGGGUAGCCGUAGCGAAAGCGAGUCUGAAUAGGGCGUUUUUAGUCGCUGGGUCUAGACCCGAAGCGAAGUGAUCUACCCAUGGGCAGGUUGAAGCGCGGGUAAGACCGUGUGGAGGACCGAACCCACCUAGGUUGAAAACUGGGGGGAUGACCUGUGGGUAGGGGUGAAAGGCCAAUCAAACUUCGUGAUAGCUGGUUCUCCCCGAAAUGCAUUUAGGUGCAGCCUUACGUGUUGCUUGCCGGAGGUAGAGCUACUGGAUAGCCGAUGGGCCCCACCGGGUUACUGACGUUAGCCAAACUCCGAAUGCCGGUAAGUGUAAGCGUAGGAGUGAGACUGCGGGGGAUAAGCUUCGUAGUCGAGAGGGAAACAGCCCAGACCACCAGCUAAGGCCCCUAAGCGUGUGCUAAGUGGGAAAGGAUGUGUGAUUGCCCAGACAACCAGGAGGUUGGCUUAGAAGCAGCCACCCUUGAAAGAGUGCGUAAUAGCUCACUGGUCAAGUGAUCGCGCGCCGACAAUGUAGCGGGGCUCAAGUACACCGCCGAAGCUGUGGCAUGACAUCCCUUUGUGGGUGUUGUGGGUAGGGGAGCGUCGUGUAGAUGGUGAAGCUGCCGGGUGACCGAGUGGUGGAGACUACACGAGUGAGAAUGCAGGCAUGAGUAGCGAAAGGCGGGUGAGAAACCCGUCCGCCGAAUGAUCAAGGGUUCCAGGGUCAAGCUUAUCUGCCCUGGGUUAGUCGGGACCUAAGGCGAGGCCGACAGGCGUAGUCGAUGGAUAACGGGUUGAUAUUCCCGUACCGGCGAAGCACCGCCCAACACAAAACCAUAAUGAUCGUUGCACCACGGGCAUUGAUGCUGUGGGAUUCCCCUUGUGGGGGUUCUAUGGUGUUGGUGUGUUGUGCUGGGACGUGAGUGUGGUGGCGUGAGCGUAUUAACAGGGGUGACGCAGGAAGGUAGCCAAACCGUCGCGAUGGUUGACGACGGCCAAGACUGUAGCACGGGUAUUAGGUAAAUCCGGUACCCAUGAAGGUGUGAGAGUUGAUGGGGUUAAGUUGGUGAUCCUCUGCUGCCUAGAAAAACCUCGACGCGAGGUGUUAGCCGCCCGUACCCGAAACCGACACAGGUGAUCAGGUAGAGAAUACUAAGGCGACGAGAGAAUCAUGGUUAAGGAACUCGGCAAAAUGCCCCCGUAACUUCGGGAGAAGGGGGGCCUGCCCCGUUGCCAGCCCGUGCGGUUGGUGUAAGCGGGUGUAGGCCGCAGAGACCAGAGAGAAGCGACUGUUUACUAAAAACACAGGUCCGUGCGAAGACGUAAGUCGAUGUAUACGGACUGACGCCUGCCCGGUGCUGGAAGGUUAAGAGGAUCGGUUAACCACCUUUGGUGGUGACGCUGAGAAUUUAAGCCCCAGUAAACGGCGGUGGUAACUAUAACCAUCCUAAGGUAGCGAAAUUCCUUGUCGGGUAAGUUCCGACCUGCACGAAUGGCGUAACGACUUCUCUGCUGUCUCAACCAUGAACUCGGCGAAAUUGCAUUACGAGUAAAGAUGCUCGUUACGCGCAGCAGGACGGAAAGACCCCGGGACCUUUACUAUAGCUUGGUAUUGGUGUUCGCUUCAGUUUGUGUAGGAUAGGUGGGAGACUAGGAAACCCGCGCGCCAGCGUGGGUGGAGUCAACGUUGAAAUACCACUCUGAUUGAAUCGGAUACCUUAACCUCGGACCCUGAUCGGGUCCAGGGACAGUGCCUGGUGGGUAGUUUAACUGGGGCGGUUGCCUCCUAAAGAGUAACGGAGGCGCUCAAAGGUUCCCUCAACCUGGUUGGCAAUCAGGUGGCGAGUGUAAGUGCACAAGGGAGCUUGACUGCGAGACUGACAGGUCAAGCAGGGACGAAAGUCGGAACUAGUGAUCCGGCCAUGGCUUGUGGAAGCGUGGUCGCUCAACGGAUAAAAGGUACCCCGGGGAUAACAGGCUGAUCUUGCCCAAGAGUCCAUAUCGACGGCAUGGUUUGGCACCUCGAUGUCGGCUCGUCGCAUCCUGGGGCUGGAGUAGGUCCCAAGGGUUGGGCUGUUCGCCCAUUAAAGCGGUACGCGAGCUGGGUUUAGAACGUCGUGAGACAGUUCGGUCCCUAUCCGCUGCGCGCGCAGGAAACGUGAGAAGACCUGUCCCUAGUACGAGAGGACCGGGACGGACGAACCUCUGGUGUGCCAGUUGUACCGCCAGGUGCACGGCUGGUUAGCUACGUUCGGAAGGGAUAACCGCUGAAAGCAUCUAAGCGGGAAGCCUGCUUCAAGAUAACGUUUCCAACAACCACUUGGUUGUGAAGGCACCCACCAGACCAGUGGGUUGAUAGGCCGGACGUGGACACGCAGUAAUGCGCGGAGCUGACCGGUACUAAUACGCCAACCACUAACACACCACACAA
rnacentral:rRNA from 1 species